rnacentral:lncRNA from 1 species
GUUUUUCUUCAAUUUGGUUGAUAACCGAGCAGUGCACACGAAUGGAAGGUUGAAAGUGUUGAUGACGAUGGAACAGAGCUGCAUUUCCUGAGGAAAAUGGGGUAGCACUAUGUCAUGUCUGAUGUAUUGGACACCUCGUUUUUUUUUCUCCAAUAAGAUCCUGAACAUUAUGCCUGUUCCAAGGAUUUCUUUUAAAGACACAAAUUGCCUACAUGAUUUCUGUUUAGUAUUGGAUCCCAAUGAUCAAAUUACAAGUUUUAUUCCAGUGAUUGCCAACUAUUUUUUCCUCAUAUUUCGUUUAUUGUUUUUUCUUUUCUUCUCCCAAUCAUUAAAGUAAGAUGUUAUAACUUAACACUAAUUGAGAGGCAAUAUUAUCCUGCUGUGUAUAUUUACAGAGCUUCUACUUCCAAUCUUUUAUAUUCAUUAUAAAAGUGAAAUAUUACAAAGAUUCAGUUUUAAAAAACAUAUUUUACCGGUUUUCUGUGUCACAAGUCUAUAGCAUAUAUAUAUAUAUAUAUAUAUACUAGUACAUUGUAUUUUUUUUUUUUUUUAUUACUCAAGACAAGCUAAUACAUCCUAGGAAUGAUUAAGUCAUUCUGUCAAAUGGGGUCACAUCUGUAUGAUUUGCAGUGUUUUAUGAUGUAUUUUGGCAUAAUCAGUGUCUGUGUUAUGCGCAGAAGGUGAUUUGAAAUAGUCUUUCUACUUCAAUGUGUGCUAUUGAUUUUGGGUUAUCAUAAAUGAUGAAUAAAUCUAUUUCCAUGUA